ensembl:lncRNA
UAAGAGAGAAACGAAAAAAGGUCAGUUUUUUCAUUUUCUGAGACCGGAAGUGGUCAUCAGCAAGAGUGGAGCCAAACGACAACAAGAUUCUCAGAGGGCGGAGCCAGAGAGCAGCGAUUGGUCAGACCACAGAUAAUAUAGAAGACAGCGCGCUAGCGUAUCUAGUAUUCUAUGUAUCUAUGGUCGGCACGUCUGGUAGCGUCUCUGGCUGCUGUUGAUCUUGUUUUUGGAGUAAAACACGGUGGAAGCUGAAUUAGUGAGGAUGACUCCUGCUCCUGUCAUCUCUAAACUCCUCACACAUCUUUACCUGCACAUGAGGAAAAUCACUCCUGUAGAAUGCAGUGGUUCAUCAGAACCUCUGGGGAUGUCCUGUGGAUUCUGUGGAUCCUGUGGGUUGCAGGGUGGGUCCUACCUAGACCAGGCUGAUCCUGGACCAUCCCACAGAUGCUCAAUCAGAUCUGGAUGUGGGGAGUGUGGAACCCAGAUGUUCAGAGGGAGAUGAUGCCACAUCUGGUCCAGCUGAUGGAAGGUCUUGAAGUUCUCUGACUGGCCUCGACUGAAGAUGGUCGUCUCACUGGAUUUAAGGUUCAGAUGCUCAGUAACAAACUCCACCAAUGUGCCAACAGGGAAGCUUUAGGUUUAUUAAAUGUUGCUAUGAAGGUUUCGCUGUUUUUCUUUGUGAAUGCAAUGUGCUCCAACUGAAACUUGAAUUAGAACUUAGAAGUAAAUCCUUCCAUCUGAAAGGAUUUAGUUGCAUUAAUAACCUCAUAACAUUCUAAUUUUUAUUCCAGUCUUGGUUGAAAAUAGAAUCUCU